GCAUCGGUGGUUCAGUAGUAGAGUGCUCGCCUUCCACACGGGCGGCCCAGGUUCGAUUCCCGGCCGGUUAC